GCGACGACGUGGUUCUCGACUGCAGCAGCGUCUUGACGAUUUUUGCUUUAGAUCUGACUACCAAGCUUUCGAUUUGCACGACCUAUGGUGGCCCGAGCCAAGAAUCGACAGCGAUUCUACACCAGGCGCGGCGGUUCGGUGAACCCGUAGUGUUUGAGAUGGUUUUUCAGCGUUGGGUAGCGUCUCGGCUGUUUGACGGCAGCACACGACAUGUAGCAGACGAGAUUCGGCGGCUUGUGUCGUGUCUUCAACAUCCAGCGGCGUCGGUAGCAGAUUCAACGCAUUUUCCCCUAUUGCAAAACAUGGACAACAACGCUUUUGUGGCGUUUUAUUCUUUCCAGCGAUAUUCGGCAUUACCCGUUGUUUUUCGACACCGGAUCAACAAACCCGAAGCCUUUCGAACUCGAUCUUAGAAGCUCGAACCUUUCCGGAAGUGACCCAAGCAUAACCCAAGUGUUUCGGUGUGGGUUGGUAGGAACCCUUCGGUGAGCUUGGUAGCGCAUUAGAACUUUGUUUUGCAAGUGUCGAGCUAGCUCUUGGGAUGGUGAUGGCGAGGAGAAGACUUGAUUAGAGAGACCAUUUAACUCUGCAUCGUUAAGUUCCAAGUUGAAUAGGAUAGCUAUAGUUGUUUGUUUUUGGCUUAAGUCUGUUUUUAGAUUAAUAAAGUGUAUUGUGAAGUCCCAUAUUUAGAGGAUGUCCUAGGAUUGAUAACUCGUUGUCUUGAGAACCGUAAUUUUAUGUAGCUACUUGACUUGUGGUGACGUAAUACGUUGAGGAUAUUUAUCAGUAUAAUGCAUUUGUUCAAGUUGAACUUGAGUUA